CAUAAAGCAGUAGUAUGUAUCUUCAUAUUUCUUAAUCUUCUGAAUUGCUGUUGACUUUUCUAAAUGGAAUUGUCUUGAAUUUCUUUCUUCAGCUGUUUCUUGAAUAGGCAAUAUUUUUGUUUUCCAGAAAAUGCUGUUAUAAAGUGUGCUUCUCUGAUCUUUCAGCUUUCUGGUUUUGAUGGUGUAAGGAAAUAAGAAAGCCACUUCUUCAAAAUACAGCCUCUGAGGCCAGAGACAAAUUUGACCUCUUCUCAAACAUUUCUCCUCUGCUCAGAGAGGUUGAUCCACAGGAACCGAUGCCAAAAGAAGGUGCUCAGGUUCCAGGGCCUGCUCCUGCAUGAGAAUAACUGGUGUUGGAACAGAAGAGCUGCUGCGCUCCAAGCAGCAGAGACAAUGUGAUCCUUCCCAAAACUAAUGUUGCUUGAAUAUCAGUAUGGAAAAAGGACAUUUGAAAUUAUGAAUCAGCCUUACAAAAAGACUGUCAACUUCAGGGGACCUAAAAAGUGUUGUUACAAAAGUCAUAUGAUCUACUUUUCAAAGGUGCUUUUUUCUGCGUGGAGGGUUAUUCAAGUCUUUAAGGGCUCUG
rnacentral:lncRNA from 1 species